GCUGGGCAUGGUGGCUCAUGCCUGUAAUCCCAGCACUUUGGGAGGCUGGGGUGGGAGGAUUCCUUGAGCCCAGGAGUUUGAGACCAGCCUGGGCAAUAUAGUAAGAUCUCCCCCUCU
ensembl:misc_RNA Metazoa_SRP Metazoan signal recognition particle RNA